AUGAAAGCUGCACUUUGCAAGAACACAUCACUCUACCUACAGGCAAAAUCACAACAUGACAGGGUGCCUAACAGUUGGGUGGCUGCACAGGCAUCACUCUUUAGAAUGCUGUUUCUAGGAAUGGAACUUGGUCUGGUUCAUAGGUAUAUACUGCAACUCUGCAACACAUUCUGGAUGUUUGCUAAGGCUGAAGCGCCGGAUGAAUCACAUAGCUUGUAUCUGAACAAACUCAACACCACAAGCUACUUACAACCUCUGUACACAAAUGAGGUUUUAGAGACUUGUGUCAAGUCUCUAAAACGUCUUAUAUUUGUUUACAGAGGGAGUAGAAUUCUACCUUCAAAUUGUAUAGCUUAA
rnacentral:rRNA from 1 species